UGGGGAAUUUUGGACAAUGGGCGAAAGCCUGAUCCAGCAAUGCCGCGUGUGUGAAGAAGGCCUUCGGGUUGUAAAGCACUUUUGUCCGGAAAGAAAUCCUUGGCUCUAAUACAGUCGGGGGAUGACGGUACCGGAAGAAUAAGCACCGGCUAACUACGUGCCAGCAGCCGCGGUAAUACGUAGGGUGCAAGCGUUAAUCGGAAUUACUGGGCGUAAAGCGUGCGCAGGCGGUUUGCUAAGACCGAUGUGAAAUCCCCGGGCUCAACCUGGGAACUGCAUUGGUGACUGGCAGGCUAGAGUAUGGCAGAGGGGGGUAGAAUUCCACGUNUAGCAGUGAAAUGCGUAGAGAUGUGGAGGAAUACCGAUGGCGAAGGCAGCCCCCUGGGGCCAAUACUGACGCUCAUGCACGAAAGCGUGGGGAGCAAACAGGAUUAGAUACCCUGGUAGUCCACGCCCUAAACGAUGUCAACUAGUUGUUGGGGAUUCAUUUCCUUAGUAACGUAGCUAACGCGUGAAGUUGACCGCCUGGGGAGUACGGUCGCAAGAUUAAAACUCAAUGAAUUGACGGGGUCAUAGCUGUUUCC
rnacentral:rRNA from 1 species